GAUGAACGCUGGCGGCGUGCCUAAUACAUGCAAGUCGAGCGAACAGACGAGGAGCUUGCUCCUCUGACGUUAGCGGCGGACGGGUGAGUAACACGUGGAUAACCUACCUAUAAGACUGGGAUAACUUCGGGAAACCGGAGCUAAUACCGGAUAACAUGUUGAACCGCAUGGUUCAACAGUGAAAGACGGUUUUGCUGUCACUUAUAGAUGGAUCCGCGUCGCAUUAGCUAGUUGGUAAGGUAACGGCUUACCAAGGCAACGAUGCGUAGCCGACCUGAGAGGGUGAUCGGCCACAGUGGAACUGAGACACGGUCCAGACUCCUACGGGAGGCAGCAGUAGGGAAUCUUCCGCAAUGGGCGAAAGCCUGACGGAGCAACGCCGCGUGAGUGAAGAAGGUCUUCGGAUCGUAAAACUCUGUUAUUAGGGAAGAACAAAUGUGUAAGUAACUAUGCACGUCUUGACGGUACCUAAUCAGAAAGCCACGGCUAACUACGUG
rnacentral:rRNA from 1 species